CUCUGCGGACAGGGCCAGGAGAGAUGCGCAGGGCUCCGGAGAGGUCUGCCCGCACCCCGGCCCGUGCCCAGGGAGCUCGGGCCCCAGCGAAGAGUGGCGCUCCAAGCCUCCUCGCAGCUCUCAGAUGUCACAUGUGGAAGCCACGCGGAUGGUCUGUCCCUGAGAUGAGUGAGAUACCAGCUGUCCAGGUUGCAUGUGUGCUGCUCGGAAACACAGGUGUGCACAGGUACAAGUGUACGUAUUCUACCACCACUUGGGCGAAAAAACACAGCAGCCGGAGGGAGGCACUUGUUCGGAUUUCUCUCACUGUGAGACAUUUAUGCUGAUGUGUCUGCAAAGGCUCAUGGGUGAGUGCUCGCUGUCAUCGGCAGAGGUUGGCUGGGGACCCUGUUCGGUCAGCAUGGGAGUCCGGGGACUGUCUCAGAGGUAAUCAGCAUGGUCGCAGCGUCAGGUGUGCAUCUUAACACGAAAAGUCUGUGACGGAGGGCUGGCAUUCUGGAACCUCAAGUCCCAAGUGCCUUGGUGCUGAGGAAGGGGGCCUGGGAGCUUUGUGGCUUGGAGGGGGGAGGUGGCCUGAAUGGAUGUCCUGCAGGGGUGUUCCUGGUUGGCUUGUUGGAGUGGCUGGCCCCACGUCUGCCCCUCCCUCUUCCUCCCAGGCUGCCGGGUCUCUGAGGGUUGCCCGGAAGCUGCGGAGCCCUCAGUGGCCUGUGGCUCCAGCAUCCACAGGCCCUGUCCUCAUGGCACUGGGAGAUGAAAGAGAGGACAGGGCGGUGGGGCUCUCUGGAAUUCGGCAUCUUGAAGAUGCCUCCGGAGAGGUCAGCAGGGCAGCCGUGGCCUGAGCUCCAAUGUGAGAGGGAGCAAGGCUCUCCUGAAUUCGGGGAAUUCCUGCUUCCUCUGUUUAUUGAAAAUAUCUCCAAGAGGCUUGGUUGUUUUUCGGGGCUGUCUCCUGCUUCCAGCGCGUGCGUGUGUGUGUGUGGGGGGGGGGGCAAACUCUUCUUUCACAUCCCUGUGUUGCGUUAGAAGCAGGAAGGCAAGGGUUCUUCCUCCUCCUCAUCCCCAUCUGUGCCCAGGCUAUGGGUGGGAGCAGAGUCCCGUUUGGGGAGGCUGCCGAUAGGCUCCCCCAGGGCUGGAACAGGGGACAGAAACAGCUGGGUCUGCCCGGUGCAGGUGGGGGCUGCUCUCUCCUCUUCCUUUUUUUUUUCUGACCACCCAGGCUGGCUCGCUGUCCCCCCCCCCUCCCCCAGGCAUUUCCGCCGCUCAGCCCUCUGCAGCCAGGUGUAACAGCAUUGUUGUGUGUGUCAUCACUUCCCCGAAUUCCACCCUCGG
rnacentral:lncRNA from 1 species